rnacentral:rRNA from 1 species
GUCCACGCCCUAAACGAUGGAUACUCGACAUACGCGAUACACAGUGUGUGUCUGAGCGAAAGCAUUAAGUAUCCCACCUGGGAAGUACGAUCGCAAGAUUGAAACUCAAAGGAAUUGGCGGGGGUCCGCACAAGCGGUGGAGCAUGUUGUUUAAUUCGAUGAUACGCGAGGAACCUUACCUGGGCUAGAAUGUUGGGAGACCGUGGGUGAAAGCUCACUUUGUAGCAAUACACUGCCAAUAAGGUGCUGCAUGGCUGUCGU